UUUUUUUAUUGUGACCCUUUCCUGUUCAGCUGCACGUCCUUGCCAAAUGGUGGCUCUGUACGCCUUUUGUGCUAGAACAGUUUUGCUGUGCAACGGGGGAGUUCUGAAAUACUCUGCUUAGUUUUACACUUUUUAAGUCUGUUUAUUGAAAAUGCAGCCAGCCAGAAAAGGGGACAGGCAAGGGGAAUAAGAGUCAGUCUAGAUAUUUGAGCACAAGUAACAUUACAACAGUCAAAUUGGGUUCUUUCUUGUGGAUAUGGGGGCCACCUGGUGAGGACAUGCAACAACUAACCAAGAGAGAACAGGACAGGAUGUGGCAAAUGAGCAAGGCAGUGCUACUGAUGAGUGGUUCGGUGGGAUUCUUUCUUUAGCGUCUACACCUCUAAGCACCUGCGAGUUGAUAUGUUAGUACAGGGUGGGCCCGGGCCCGGCCCCGGCCCCUUCACCCACAAGUGGGGCCAAGCCAGCGAGCCUGUCCAGCAGGGCACCCAACCACGAGGAUGCCACCCACCCCUCCCCCCCAGGACGCAGGGAGGUACCCAGCCCGACCGAAGCGCCCCGAACAGUCCCAAAGGGAGGGGCACAGGCACCGGGCCACCGCCCCUCACGCCCACUACAUAUUAACUUGAUCGUUAGUCAUGAAAGUGGCAAACAAGUGUAUACCUGUACAGGUUUCAGAGCAGUUUGGAGUCAACGUUCGCACAUAACAGAUGAGGCCAUGUUUUAAGUGCUUUCAAUUCUCGUAAAUUGGCAAACGUACGCCGUGACGUCAUUUCCCGUUCGCCUUUUCUGAGCCUUCUUGCGAGCCGUCGGUCGCCACGGCAACGCUGCCGAUGGCCGCCAAGGAGCGAACUCCCUUCUCCGUCUGUCGUGUUCGUGUCCAGCGUUAAACGCGGCUCACUUCUUUCUUUGGAUCCGUUUUUCCGAACACUAGAGCCGCGUCCUAAAAUGGCGCCGAAGCUCCCUUUUACCUCCUGCUAGUGUGAAACAACAACAACAACAACAACAACAACAAAAGUGAUGCUUACAUAAAGACGUCGGAGCUGUCCCUUAACCGAGUUUUGUGUUCAAAUGGCGACAGUGGCGCGUCACAGCGGACAGCAAGUGGAUCCACGACGACGACGACGAAGAAGAAGACAAUAGAUGGACGUGAGCCCAGAAGAAGAAACACAACAAGAGGCGCAACAACAUCUCUCUUUUUAUGCUGACCUCUGACACCAGCUCAAAUGGAUGAGUGACAGCAGGUCUGAGUGGCGUCCGUACCGGCCCAGGGGCUUCCUCCCAACGCUCACCUGACGUCAGAGGACACGAGCGAUCACGACAAACGACAUCCUGCACGUGUGACCUUCAUGGUGGCGGAGAAUGAGCGUUGUUCCUGUUUUUGGAUUGGCCGUGCCCCUGCCCGCCAUCAUUAUGAUGGGCGUCACACUCUACAUGCUCGUCCUGGCCCUCGUCCUCUGGAUACGAUUCUGCCUCAAGGUCUGUGCCGGCCACUCGCAAACAAAGCGAGCGAGAUAUUGAGAUGCACCCACCUGUGUUAAAGGAGCGCUGCUCGCUGGCGUGCGAGUCGUGCUGUCCGAGCUUCUCCGUGUGGGAUCGCUGUUUCAGACUGGCGCAGUCGUGCGACUGCCGGCCGCCAACGCUGCGCUCGUGUCUGACGGGUAUCGGCUCGGCACCCUCGGUUUCCAAGUGGGAUUGCGCGUGCACGUGUCAGCCCCCAGACUGCGAGUCGUGCAACUGUCUGUGCUUCGAGAUCCGCAUCAAGUAGUCCUGCACCGCUCUCCAGACACGCAACCAUUUUGAAAGACUAUCAUUUAACACAGCUGGACUCAACACAUGUCAAAGAACAUUCAAAGCAAGUGGACUGAAUGCAUUUAACAUCAUUUCCAAGUGUAUUCAACAUUAAUGGACUGAAGUGAACCUGGAGCAGAACACUUGUUCUCGAACAUUGAACCAAACACGACUCUGCAAAAGACACAUGCGUGUCAAUGUGCCAUCUUGCUGUUUCUCUUUUGAGUGUGACAACAUUCUUGAGCACACGAAGUCCCAUUGAAGGCCUCACAAUGGUGCCAUUUAGUUUGUUUUAUUACAACCCCAAUUCCAAUCAAGUUGGGACGUUGUGUUAAACAUAAAUAAAAACAGAAUACAAUGAUUUGCAAAUCAUGGUCAACCUAUAUUUAAUUGAAUACACCACAAAGACAAGAUAUGUAAUGUUCAAACUGAUCAACUUGAUUGCUUUUAGCAAACAAUCAUGAACUUAGAAUUUUAUGGCUGCAACACGUUCCAAAAAAGCUGGUGAACAGGCUCAUUGGGAACAGGUGGGUGCCGUGAUUGGUUCCCUGAAUUGCUCAGUCAUUCACAAGCAAAGAUGGGCCGAGGUUCACCUCUUUGUGAACAAGUGCGUGAGAAAAUAGCCCAACAGUUUAAGGACAAUGUUACUCAACGUACAAUUGCAAGGAAUUUAGGGAUUUCAUCAUCCAAUGUCCAUAAUAUCAUCAAAAGAUUCAGAGAAUCUGGAGAAAUCACUGCAUGUAAGCAGCAAGGCCGAAAACCGACAUCGAAUGCCCGUGACCUUCGAUCCCUCAGGCGGCACUGCAUCAAAAACCGACAUCGAUGUGUAAAGGAUAUCACCACGUGGGCUCAGGAACACUUCAGAAAACCAAUGUCAGUAAAUACAGUUCGGCGCUACAUCCGUAAGUGCAACUUGAAAAACUCUACUAUGCAAAGCAAAAGCCAUUUAUCAACAACACCCAGAAACGCCGCCGGCUUCUCUGGGCCCGAGCACAUCAAAGAUGGACUGACGCAAAGUGGAAAAGUGUUCUGUGGUCCGUCGAGUCCACAGUUCAAAUUGUUUUUUGGAAAUUGUGGACGACGUGUCCUCCGGGCCAAAGAGGACAAGAACCAUCCGGACUGUUAUGGACGCAAAGUUGAAAAGCCAGCAUCUGUGGGGCUCUGUUAGUGCCAAUGGCAUGGGUAACUUACACAUCUGUGAAGGCACCAUUAAUGCUGAAAGGUACAUACAGGUUUUGGAGAAACAUACGCUGCCAUCCAAGCAUCGUCUUUUUCAUGGACGCCCCGGGCUUAUUGCAGCAAGACAAUGCCAAACCACAUUGUGCACGUGUUACAACAGCGUGGCUUUGUAGUAAAAGAGUGCGGGUACUAGACUGGCCAGUCCAGACCUGUCUCCCAUUGAAAAUGUGUGCCGCAUUAUGAAGCGUAAAAACGGAGACCCCGGACAGUUGAACAGCUGAAGCAAGAAUGGGAAAGAAUUCCACCUACAAAGCUUCAACAAUUAGUGUCUUCAGUUUCCAAAUGUUUAUUGAAUGUUGUUCAAAGAAAAGGUGAUGUAACACCGUGGUAAACAUGAGCCUGUCGCUGUUUUUUGGGAACGUGUUGCAGCCGUAAAAUUCUAAGUUGAUGAUUAUUUGCUAAAAACAAUCAAGUUUAUUAGUCUGAACAUUA